rnacentral:lncRNA from 1 species
AUCGAACAAUCUAGAACACCAAGGGACAGGCUGGACUUAGAACUAUGGCAGUCACGACCCUCCAGGACACCAACAGACACACUGGCUGAGGAUCAUGGCUGAUGGAAUGUUCCAGAAUACCAGGGGACAUGCUGGGCAUUCUGGAGUACGAGGAAUCCCUGUGUUCUGCGGACUUGGCUGCGAAGCUUCCUUUCUUUGAGAACAAAUGGCAGGAAGGCCCCACUCCUGCGUCGCCGUCGCCGGCUGGGGCGGAGCUGCGCGCAUGUCUUCCCCCCAUGCCGCAGUGCUGUGGCCAGCUUCUCGGCGUCACAGAAAUGUGGGUGAGCACAGGAACCCCGGGACCGGCUGGUGGGUGGUGGCUGCCCUGUGAUGGAGGCAGGGACCCCGCGUGCCCCCGGGGUCCAUUACUCUGCCCAGAGCCGCCCCUGCAGUGGGGCUUCGACCCGAUCAGGUGGGACCUGGGGACUCCGCGUCACCACAGCGAGGGGUCUGGCGACCUUUGCGUCCAUGCCCUGUGUUUUCGGAUGAGGACACUUCCCGGCUCAUGACACACUGGCAUUUAUUAGCCUCUCCCUGCUCAGAAGCCGCGGCUGGCUGCCCACGCCUGAGGGGAGCUCUCAGACGUAAAGCCUCCGUGGCCUGCCUGCACCUGCGACUCUGUCUCCGUCUCACCUCUCCUCUGUCUCUGCGUCUCCGCCUGCAUUUCUGUCUCUGCCACCGCUGUCUCAGUCGCCGUUUCCUCACCCGCUCCGCCAGUCCCUGCCGCUGCAGUCCUUGUCUUCUCCACCCGCAUCUCUGGCAUUUUACCCCUGCUGUCUCUGCCGCCGUCUCCGUCUCUCUCCCUCUCUCUCUCUCUCUCUCUCUCUCUCUCUCUCUCUCUCUCUCCCUCUCUCUCUCUCUCUCUCUCUCUCUCUCUCUCUCUCUCUCUCUCUCUCUGCUCUGCUGCACCAGGGAGCUCCUGAGCCAAAGCUGUGCGCUCUAGGGCAGCCUCUCACUCUGCACAGUUGCUUGGUCGUGUG